rnacentral:rRNA from 1 species
GUGCACCAGGCGAGAAUACUUUACAAUGCGGGAAACCGCGAUAAGGGGACACCGAGUGCCAGCAUAUUAUGUUGGCUGUCCACAUGUGUAAACGGCAUGUGUUAGCAAGGGCCGGGCAAGACCGGUGCCAGCCGCCGCGGUAACACCGGCGGCCCGAGUGGUAAUCACUUUUAUUGGGUCUAAAGGGUCCGUAGCCGGUUUGAUCAGUUCUUCGGGAAAUCUGACAGCUCAACUGUUAGGCUUCCGGGGAAUACUGUCAGACUUGGGACCGGGAGAGGUAAGAGGUACUACAGGGGUAGGAGUGAAAUCUUGUAAUCCCUGUGGGACCACCAGUGGCGAAGGCGUCUUACCGGAACGGGUCCGACGGUGAGGGACGAAAGCUGGGGGCACGAACCGGAUUAGAUACCCCUGUAGU